GAUGCUGACAUGAAAAUCUUGGCCGUGGACCCUCUACGACCGGGGUCGGACCACGACGCUUUCCUCUGGCCAACAUGGCUGCGCCGGUGGUUUCAAGCGGGCCGCAUCGUGAAUCCCAGGGAAUACUUCCUCGAGAGGAGACAAAAGAAAGAAUAGUGAUUUCCAGUGGCCGCAGUGCAGCCUGAGAGAGAAAACUACAUGAUACCCAAGGGAAAUAUGGGGCUGACCCUCGUUGACUCAGCGGGACGUCCAGUAUGUACCCACAGCGAACGAUUACAGCCCUUGAGAGAACCGUUCCCUGGCGGCUUGUUUAGCAGCGCGGUGACGACUGGAACGAGUUUUGUAUAGUUCCUAAAUUUAUGCUUACCUUCGUCAUUGAUUUUCAUGUUCUAGUAUCUUAUUCUGCUAGUUCGCACCUCCAGUGGAGCUCUUAUAAAUUGCAAAAAACUGCGACUGACUGCACUGAGUACACCCGCAUUCAUCGGAACCACUACGA